rnacentral:lncRNA from 1 species
AUGGAAGUGGGAGUUGAGAACAUUCUGGCGAAUGUCACUGUGUGGCAAAGGUCAAAUGGAGCAACACAUAUUGCAGCAGAAGGAUGAGACCGGGAAAAUUGAGCUGAGAGACAGAAGGUGCAGCUACCCCUGUUCUGCAAAGAGCCAGACUAUCUCUGCAUCUCUACAGAAGAGGACUAGAGAUGGGAGCUGUGCCCUGAGCAUUACUCAUGAGGUUACCACGAAGAAGCAGGUUAGAAGCUGUUAGAAAAGACUCCUUCAUACCUCUGGCAGUGCUGACAUCCAUGCUACGGUGUAGUCAUUUGAAACUGCAGGGACAUCAGUCUUCACUGACACCUGGGAACACAGAGGCACACCUUUUGUAACCACCACAUAUAUCACAAAGGAGAGAAAAAAGCCAACACCGAAAGGAAAAAUUGAAGCAAAGUAGUAUGAGAGAGCUACACAGAACCUCCAGUGUUUCAAAGCUGCUGGUUGCUGCUAGUGUUGGCAUGAGAGGAAGCAUAAAGUGGAUCAAGUGCAAGGGCAAACAGUCCGAGGCAUUCUGCUAGCAGAGUCUCCUGUCAUCCUCCUGCUUUUCAACAUGAUGGCGAUCCAAGCUGCACAGAGUCUUGGAUGUAGCUCCAAGCACUGAAUCACUUUGACUCCCCUCCCUCCCCUGCAAUGAUCA